AGCUGCAGUGUAUAAGAAAGCAAAAGCAGCAGUGGCAGUAGCAGUAGUAGAACUAGUUGAAGAUGGAUGCCCCGCCGCUCUCUCAAGAGAUGUCUUACUACGAUCAUGUUAAGCAGCGACAUACGGAUAAAGGCUGCCUCUAUGCUUGUUUGUUCGCGGCGUGUUGCUGUUUCUGUUGCUACGAGACAUGCGAGUGCUGUUUGGAUAUCAUCUGCUGCAAGUGUUUCUAACGUCUUCUUGGUCUACUGAUUCAAUUCUCUUUUAAUUUGUGCCCGUGAAGCAAACUAUGUCGUCCUGUUGUUUUAGUUUUUUGAGCUCCUUCAGCUUCUUGGUGUGGUUCAAAAUUGAGACUUUAACCGGUCUCAGGUGUUAAAAAGAUUGUCAGACUCGUAUAAACUGUUCUCCCUUCGUAAUUAAUUCCUUCUUCGUACUUUGGCUGAAUGAUUCUGCAUUUACAAAAAUAAUUUUAUACCUCUGCCUAGUACCAAGUCGCUAGAACCGAAACAGACCAAACACUCUCUUACAGUUUAAGUGACAUCCAAUCCAUUGUAGUAAAGCAAAGUUCAAGCUUUACACCUUGUGUGACGUUUCAUAAUAAAAGCUCACGUUGAUGAA